GGGGGGCGUCCAGCAGAACAACGGCACGACGGGGGGCGUCCAGCAUGAGCACAAAGUACUCCUGGAUACCCAUGAAGUAGACGACCAGAUGUUGAACGGGACGAGGAAAAGUUGAACAGGACGAUGAGCGACGAGGAAAAGUUCAAUGGGACGAUGAAAAGUAAAAGUUCAACGGGACGAUGAGCGAGGAGAUAUUCAAUACUGCAUAGAUUCAUCUCGUAUAUUUCGACUGCCUUGGAGAGCUUGAUAUCGGAGACGUUAUCUUAGCAAUAUAAUAAAACGUCUAUACAUUUCUUAAAUAACAGUGUGUCAAUCCAAUGUUUGUAUUGCAAUGCUUGGCUCUUAUCAUGCAUACAUCUUCCCUUAACAGUCCAAUAAAAGCUCAUCUGGACGAGAACAGUCUUUUAAAAACUCUCAUACUACAUAGGAUUAGCAGACAUUGGUCAUGUCAGUAAAAGGGAGAAGAUUAAACGUGCAAUAUUUUGAGAAAUGUUCAUUAGAAAACCUUGCCCUCCUUCCAAAUGCAGGCUUUAUUGCAGGUUAGUCUGAAGUCCGUAUGCACUUCUAUGUGCUGGACUAUAACAAGAUGGUAAAAAGGUGGACUCUAAUAACAAUUUAGCCUCAAAAGAAAAGUCAAGAAUAUAAACUUGGUAUACCCAAUUCAGGGUUUCACAAUCUUCUAAACCUGUCACUCAAAAUAGAAAGUUUAUUUUCUGCAUUUAUUUUCAAUCUGUAUUUGCCAGAUAGAAACUUACAUUUCUAAAAAAAAACAUAUUCUGCUGACGACUGAAAUCGGCACCGUUAAAAAAUGCUUUAUUAAUAACAAAUGUGCCAAACAUGACGACACAUUUGCGAGGACCUUUGAAUGUUUUCUGAAGUCUCAUAGUUUGUAAAUCGAAGGUGUGAUUCUUCCCAUUCCUGUAUUGGUCCAAGUAGCAUUUUAAAAACAGUUUUUUAUUAAGUUUAAUGUUAUUUUAAAGAUUCUUAUUUUGAGAGUUAAUUCAAAAAUGUUUUUCUCAUUUAAAGGGAUUUUAACAAUGAUUAUUUUAAUGUUUCUUAUUUUGAGAAACGUAUAAUAUACAAAGUUUUAAGUAGUUCUUCAGAAAUAUUCUCGUCUGUAUUUUGCAGAGAUAAAUCUCACAUCUUAGAAAUAACCAUAUCCUCCUGCAGGUUUUCUACUUAAAAUCACAUCCAAUAAGUGGAAUAUGCCGUCUACUUUGACAUAAAUAAUGUACAACUAUUGCAAUAAAAAUUAACAAAGACUCGAGAAUAAAAACAUGGUUUUCCCAU